UUGAACUAGCAUCAGCGUAAUAUUGGUUAGAUUAGUUGAACUGAUGUAUUAGCAUUUUGAUUAGGUAAUGCUAUUUUUCCUUUUACAACAACACUUGGAUUAGACCUAAUAUCCUCUGUAAUUGCUAAUCUUCCUUUGAUUUUUUACAAAAUACGAGUAAAUAAUUAUUUUAUUACAAGGAUUUUUGUUUUUUUUUUUUUUUUUUAAUAGAGCCUUAUUUGCUGCUUUAGUUUAAAAGUGAGGGAAGAUUACAUAUCAUUUCUUGUUGGAUAGAUUACAUCUAUCAAAUAAAAUUAAAAAUUCAAAUAACGACCACAAUUUGGUAAAAAAAAUUUACUUUCUAUAAUUUCUGGUUUGGUCAAUUCCUUCCCUUUACCUGAUUUUGUUUUGAUUUGUAUAGCAAAACAAUGGAUUUUAUUAGAUAAAAAGCACAAGAGGGAGAAUAUACGACAGAAAAAAAUGCGAAUAUACCAAAAGCAUCAGAAUCUUACUACAAAACAAACAUUUUUAAACAACAACCUUUGAUAAAACUGCACUAUCCUUGUUUCAGAAUUUCUGAACUGAGCUAAUGAUCACCCUAAUCUCUUCUUCCUCUUUUAAUCAGUUUCAAGAAUUGGUUAAGAUUGGAAGAACAAUUAAACGUACUUCAUGCGUCCGGAAUACUGUGGUGAAAGCACUGAAUUCCAUCCAUCUGAAAAGCAGUUCCUCGCUUCUAUGAUACUUGAUUAGAGAACAGCAUUGCCCAUUUCGGACUAUCCCUGAAACCAGCCCUCAUGAAGAACACUAGUGCCUCUUCAGGGUCUUCCUUAUGCUUGCCUGAACAACUCGAUUUGCACUCGUCGACAAACUCCCUGUUUAUCUGAGCCCAUAACUCUGGGUAUCUGUUGUGAGCAGCUAUAGGAUCUUCACCUGAGCAGUGAAUGCAUUCAGAUUUAUCCGAGUAUGGUAAAGUACCUGAAUAGAGGGUUGCAUCAACAGGGAGGCCUUCACCAAAAUCAGCCAUCCAACCCCUGACUCCGUCAUCUACCAUUUCUUGUAGGAUGUUUUUGAACCAUGGUGCGGUUUCUGGGUGUGUUAAAUCCAGCAUCCCCACAUCAAAGGCCGUGUUAGGAACCAUGACUGAUCAUGGGCCAAGCUGAGGUAGCUGCCAAAACUCAGCCCUUUCAAUCCCCGGUAAACACAGGCCAGGCCUAGCAGGGCAAGGACUAUAAAAUGGAGUGUAUCCGGGAUGAUAUACACCCCCAAAUAAAAUUUGGCUUAUACUUUCAUCAACUUUGGUUUUUU